GGAAGUAAAAGUCGUAACAAGGUUUCCGUAGGUGAACCUGCGGAAGGAUCAUUAUUGAAAUAAACCUGAUGGGUUGUUGCUGGUUCUCUAGGGAGCAUUGUGCACACCUUGUCAUCUUUAUAUCUCCACCUGUGCACUCUUUGUAGACCUUUCAGGUCUAUGUUGCUUCAUUUACCCCAAUGUAUGUUAAUAGAAUGUUGUGCAUUAUAAAAUCUAUACAACUUUCAGCAACGGAUCUCUUGGCUCUCGCAUCGAUGAAGAACGCAGCGAAAUGCGAUAAGUAAUGUGAAUUGCAGAAUUCAGUGAAUCAUCGAAUCUUUGAACGCACCUUGCGCUCCUUGGUAUUCCGAGGAGCAUGCCUGUUUGAGUGUCAUUAAUAUAUAUCAACCUCUCUCUUGUUGAGUGGUUUGGAUGUGGGGGUUUGCUGGCCUUUUUUUAAUGAAGGGUUCAGCUCCCCUGAAAUACAUUAGCAGAACAACCUGUUCAUUGGUGUGAUAACUAUCUACGCUAUUGAAUGUGAGAGGGCAGUUCAGCUUUCUAACAGUCCUUGGGACAAUUUAUCAUUUAUGUGACCUCAAAUCAGGUAGGACUACCCGCUGAACUUAAGCAUAUCAAUAAG
rnacentral:rRNA from 1 species